rnacentral:rRNA from 1 species
AGUGAACGCUGGCGGUAGGCCUAACACAUGCAAGUCGAACGGCAGCACAGUAAGAGCUUGCUCUUACGGGUGGCGAGUGGCGGACGGGUGAGGAAUACAUCGGAAUCUACUUUUUCGUGGGGGAUAACGUAGGGAAACUUACGCUAAUACCGCGUACGACCUACGGGUGAAAGCAGGGGAUCUUCGGACCUUGCGCGAUUGAAUGAGCCGAUGUCGGAUUAGCUAGUUGGCGGGGUAAAGGCCCACCAAGGCGACGAUCCGUAGCUGGUCUGAGAGGAUGAUCAGCCACAAUGGAACUGAGACACGGUCCAGACUCCUACGGGAGGCAGCAGUGGGGAAUAUUGGACAAUGGGCGGAAGCCUGAUCCAGCCAUACCGCGUGGGUGAAGAAGGCCUUCGGGUUGUAAAGCCCUUUUGUUGGGAAAGAAAAGCAGCAGGUUAAUACCCCGCUGUUCUGACGGUACCCAAAGAAUAAGCACCGGCUAACUUCGUG